rnacentral:tRNA from 1 species
GCCUGGGUGGCUCAGUUGGUGGGGCGUCCGACUUCGGUUCAGGUCAUGAUCUCAUUGUUUGUGGGUUCGAGCCCCAUGUCGGGCU